GAAAGGUUAAAACAAACGUUUAUUCAACAAAUUAUAUUAAGAAGACAAUCACACAGUGAAACUUCCCUUUGCCAAGUACUAGAGUCACCUCAAAUAAAUACACGCAGUAGGACGUCGUUCCUAAGCUAGCUCGUAGCCACCUGGCCGAGGCCCAUGUCCUGGUGGUGACAGGCAGCAGUGCGGUCGCAACUGGUGAAGGAAGCCGGGUGGCCCAAGAGCAGGUACCUGGCCCCUCUGCCCUCACCCUCGGGCUCGCCAGCUCUCGGGAGCUGUGGGCUGGGAUUCCCGUGAUGGACAGGCCGCAGCCCUGGGACUGCACCUGGCCCUUGCCCUGUGCUUGAUGACACCACCACGCUGGCCCCAGCAGGACCAGUGGCGGCUGGGAAGCCCAUUCUGGGGCUGGAGGUGGCUGCUUGUGAUGGGACCGCUGGCACCGUGAGUUCUGGGGCCAGAUCCUGCUUCUGCCACUUACCAGCUUUGUGCCUGCGGACACGUCUCCGCUUCUUCCUCUGGAACCAGGAGCAAAGAGCAUCCACUUCUGAGGAUUAGUUUGUUUGGGGGAAGGGGGGGGGUGACAGGGGAAAGUGUGCUUCAAGUGCCACCUAGCACCUGGCAAGAAGCAGGUGCCUCACCCGUGGUGGUCCUCCUUGUCCCCCUGCCGCCUUCUGAACAAAGCGGGGACAUGUGGAAAAGCCACUGGCAGCUUCUCCUCGCCCACCGCGGAGGGAGCUCAAGAGGAGGCCUAAGCUGCUACUUCUUCCCGCCCCCAGGUGGAGGCGGGGAGGCUUCCCACCUUCCCGAGUGGAGGCUGUGGCCCUAUCAGUUCCUGGACUUGGGGUGGAAAAGCCUGGUCAUACAUUUGCAAGUGACCCUGGAGCUAACCCCUCCCUCCUUAUCACCGCUGUGCUGUUUCCAAGGCUUCUGGCGAGAGACUUGGGGUUUUCAGAGGGAAAAGAGACGGCAGCAGGGAUACUGUGCUCUGGUCAGUCCUUCUGGGCAGGACAGAGGCUGCCGCCCUUCGUGUUUCUGGGAGAAUUGCGGGCUUCCCCUCCCGACGCGGCCCGAGGAUUCGUGAAGAAAAGCACCAUCCCGGAAAGCAGCAGAGGUGGCUCGAGUCCCAGGGUGAGUGGAGCGCCGCUUCCCCACGAGGCGGGUGGGGCACGUGGGCACCCACCUCUCGGGGAGAGACAGAGGGCUGGGCGCUGCCUACGAUCUACCGCAGCCGCCAGCUUCCCCCAACGCUGCUCUGUAAGCUGCUGUGCUGGCUACGAUCAGUCACCAUUCUGCCCAGACUCAGUCUGGGAUGCGGUGGGGGCCUCUCCAGCUCCCCUGAGUCCAUUCAGGGAGUUUGGCCUUUUCCUGGCGGCCCCACAGCCCUGCCUUGCUCUGUCCAUCCCGGGACGGCAGGGUGGCCUGGGGUGGGGUGGGGCUCCUCCCCCAACCACCACCCUGACUGCCCUCUUGCUCCCUGCAAGGGACCCCACGUGACUGUCUUUGGCCCUCCUAGGUCCAUCAGAGCCACCGGAAUGCUUGCUUCUGAGUCAAGGAGAAAGGUGGUGGGGCGUUGAGUGUUGGAGAUGAUCCCACAGCUGGGGCGUGUCGCAGAGGAAGGACAGAGGUGAGUGCAGACGCCACCCCUCUCUGUUGGUUUUGGACCUGCCCUACCCGUGCAAACAGCAGUAGCAGCAGACACAGGAUCUCGGGGCCCCACACGGCUCCCCGAUUCCCUGGAAACAACCAGCUUAUUUCAGUGGGUACGUGUGAGGUGGAUGCGUCAGCUCUGCCCUAGGUGAGCACCAAUCCCAAGAGGUUCACACGGGGAUUGUCCACCCUGAGCGCCUCCCGGGCCCGGGUGGGUUCCACCAACCAACUGCCUUUUCUUGCCACCUUACCAUGAGGGAGGCACGGGAAGGCCAGCUCCACCGGGGAGGUCCCCGAGGAUGGGCGGAGAGGUGACCACCUUCCCUAAUGCACAGAGGUCAGGAGGUAUUGAAAGGAAGACCAAGGGGCGACCGGGGGGUGGGGGUGGAGGUGGGGGCGCUGAUGCGGGGGUGUGAGGUAUGUUUUGCCCCAGCCCCACUUCUCAGCUAGAGGCCGCCCCUCCUAGCUGCUGGCCCCCAGCCACCGAUGUGCCAUCCUAGGAGCUGCCAGGAGGAAGGACUGUCCCUGGUUGGGCAGGGCUCUCUGGGCCGCCUUGCUGCUCUCCUUGGCCGCCUGCACGCCUGCUGUCGGACACCUAGCAAACCUCGCGCCCAAAGCUCCAGCCAUCCAGUGACCCUCGAGAUGCGAGAUACCAAGUUCUGGGGAGUUGGCACAAACUCCACAGAGUGAGAACCAAGCUUCCAGGAUGCCAGCGCGUCCAAGGGCCACUUGGGGCAGAAAUGUCAGCUCUGGCCCCAGUUUGGUCACCCGGGCCAGACAGACUUCAAACAACUGUUCCUGUGCAGAGGCCACCAAGACACAGCUGGUGCUGAGAAGCUGGGUGGCUGUGUGUCCGUGUCCCUGGGCACCGGCUCACAGAGCCUCUUUACCGGCAGGCCUGGUCACCGGGACAGGUGCAGGGCUGGGCAGUUGGAGCUGUUGUUGGCACGUGGGCACCGCAGAGAUGAGCCCUUUGUGGGGAUGAGGGUGUGAGGUGAGUGAGCACAGCAUCCUGGCAGCAAAAGUCACCUGCAGGCAGGCACCCGGCCACUCGCCUUUAUCGCCCAGAAGGCAAGUCCUCUCUGGGCUGGUGGCUGGGGCAUGGCUGCCCCCUGACCUCAGGGUGUCCAGUGUAUAAACAGAGUGACAAAUCGGAGGAUGUCCACAGCGGACAGGGGGCUAGGCUGUGCUUCCUCAGGGUCCCUGUGAAAUUCUCUGGCACUUAAUGCCAUGGGCGUGAGGGGCCUGUUCCACAUGUCUGGGUCUCCUCAGGGUCUCCCGGGAGGAAAGCAAUGGCUUAGUGGUGGCCUCAGUAAGGAGUGCCGGGAGUCGGUGGCGUCACUGGGCGGCCAGAACAACUGUCCAGGGCCCUCGGGGUGACUCCCGUGGUGCGCAGGGUUGUUGGUGGGACAACGGGUCAUCACACAGACAUGGCAGGAGCCGCUGGUCACUACAGCACACACAGAUUAGUUGAGAUUACGAACAGCAUCCCCAGGGAGGCGGGGCGUCGUGUCAGGCAAGCCGAUGACCGAGGAGGGAACAGCUCAGCCGCUCGG
rnacentral:lncRNA from 1 species